AUUCAUUUGUAGUUCAUAAGCAUGAUGAUAUAGGAUAUUCAUUCUGUUGUGUGGUGACAGUACCUCCCUCAAAUCUUGCUACAACCUUGGCACAUUACCUGUCUAACA